rnacentral:lncRNA from 1 species
AACCAACCCAUGUAAUCAGUUUCAGAACUUAAUAACAUUGUUCAAGUGAACAGGGAUACAAACUGCAAGAUUAAAGAGAGUCAAAUGCACAUAACAGCUCACUUCAACUUCGCAAUCAGACAGGUGUUGAGAUGUACACUCUAUCCCUCAAGACCAAUGUGAUCAAUCUCUGGACAGCCAAAAGCAUAUUGGUUAGUACUCCAUCUAAUGGCAGCAUCAGAGUAAACAACACAGAAACUACUAAACCAACCUGUUAUUCAUGAUUAUACAUGGCAAGGAAAUAACUACACAUGAACUCCGUGAAAAGGCAAUUGCAAGAGCCAGAAAAUGGCCUUUGUGAUAAUGCCACUGAGAUUUAGAACGUUAAAGCAAUCUCAUUAUCAGUUUACAUCCCCAGUUGGAAAUCAGAGAUUGUUCAGCGCAUCAAACAGUUGAGUUGGGGCAUGUAAUGUGCA